rnacentral:tRNA from 1 species
GGGCUCGUGGUCUAGCGGCUAUGACGACACCCUUACACGGUGUAUGUCCCCGGUUCGAGUCCGGGCGGGCCCA